rnacentral:rRNA from 1 species
CUGAUGAAUAUUAAAGGGCUGCAGUAUUUUGACUGUACAAAGGUAGCAUAAUCAAUAGUCUCUUAAUUGGUGACUAGUAUGAAAGAUUGGAUGAGAUAUAAGCUGUCUCUUAUUUAAAUAAAGAAUUUAAUUUUUUAGUUAAAAAGCUAAAAUUAUAUUAAAAGACGAGAAGACCCUAUAGAGUUUUAUAUUUAAGUUUAUUGAUAUUAUUUUUAUUUAAGAUAAUUGAAAUUAAUUAAAAUAUUUUAUUGGGGUGAUAGAAAAAUAAGAUUAACUUUUUUUAAAGUAUUUCAUAAAUAAGUGAGUAAUUGAUCCAUAAUUUUUGAUUAAAAGAAAAAAUUACCUUAGGGAUAACAGCGUAAUUUUUUUUUUUAGUUCAAAUAAGAAAAAGAGUUUGCGACCUCGAUGUUGGAUUAAGAUAAAAUUUAUAUGCAAAAGUAUAAAAUUUUGAUCUGUUCGAUC